AACGCACCUUGCGCUCCUUGGUAUUCCGAGGAGCAUGCCUGUUUGAGUGUCAUGAAACCCUCAAACCCAAGUUUUGGAUUUCGAUCCAUGCUUGAGUUUGGAUUUGGAUGUUUGCCAGUGAUGAACCGACUCAUCUUAAAAGUAUUAGCUUGGAUCUGUCUAUAUGACUGGUUUGACUUGGCAUAAUAAGUAUUUUGCUGAGGACAUCUUCGGAUGGCCAGGACCUAGACUACUGUCUGCUAACUAAACCAUCACUUUAAGUGCAUCUUUGGAUGUUACUCAUUGUGUAACUUUGACAUCUGGCCUCAAAUCAAGUAGGACUACCCGCUGAACUUAA
rnacentral:misc_RNA from 1 species